GAUGAACGCUGGCGGCGUGCCUAAUACAUGCAAGUCGAGCGAACAGACGAGGAGCUUGCUCCUCUGUCGUUAGCGGCGGACGGGUGAGUAACACGUGGAUAACCUACCUAUAAGACUGGGAUAACUUCGGGAAACCGGAGCUAAUACCGUAUAACAUGUUGAACCGCAUGGUUCAACAGUGAAAGACGGUCUUGCUGUCACUUAUAGAUGGAUCCGCGCCGCAUUAGCUAGUUGGUAAGGUAACGGCUUACCAAGGCAACGAUGCGUAGCCGACCUGAGAGGGUGAUCGGCCACACUGGAACUGAGACACGGUCCAGACUCCUACGGGAGGCAGCAGUAGGGAAUCUUCCGCAAUGGGCGAAAGCCUGACGGAGCAACGCCGCGUGAGUGAAGAAGGUCUUCGGAUCGUAAAACUCUGUUAUUAGGGAAGAACAAAUGUGUAAGUAACUAUGCACGUCUUGACGGUACCUAAUCAGAAAGCCACGGCUAACUACGUG
rnacentral:rRNA from 1 species